AUAACGACUCUCGGCAACGGAUAUCUCGGCUCUCGCAUCGAUGAAGAACGUAGCGAAAUGCGAUACUUGGUGUGAAUUGCAGAAUCCCGUGAACCAUCGAGUCUUUGWACGCAAGUUGCGCCCGAAGCCAUCAGGUUGAGGGCACGUCUGCCUGGGCGU
rnacentral:rRNA from 1 species